GUGAUGAUGAGUUGUUGAACAACGAAAUACACGAAGAUAAUUAAGGUUUAGUCGAGGCGGGGGGAGGAUGCGACAAACUUUCAGGUUGUGCAAUGAUGUCAACUUGCCUGCCACUAAUCUUGUUCUUCAUUUUACUCCAUCUAUUUUGUUUCUCUAAAGGUUCUAAAAACUGGACCAGCUGGAUUUAGCGGUCGGACCGAGAAUUGGACAGUUACCCGGUCCAGAUAACCCAAGAAAUCACCCUUUCAGGAAACUAGAGAAAAAAUCGCAAAACUGGUAUAGAACCGGGUAAAUAUCGCUGGUUUCUAGCGGUUCGAUCAUUCGCAGUUGUUUCUUCUUCGUGCUUCCUCGCUCAAACAUUUUUUGCUUCGAUUUCUUGUUGUUGUUGUACUAUACAUAUGCAGCUUCAAUCAAUUCAUGAUUUCCUUUAA